UACAGAGGUGGCAAGCGUUGUUCGGAAUUACUGGGCGUAAAGGGCGCGUAGGCGGUUCGUUAAGUCCUGUGUGAAAUCCCCCGGCUCAACUGGGGAACUGCACAGGAAACUAGCGGGCUUGAGUUCGGGAGAGGGGAGCGGAAUUCCGGGUGUAGCGGUGAAAUGCGUAGAUAUCCGGAGGAACACCGGUGGCGAAGGCGGCUUCCUGGACCGACACUGACGCUGAGGCGCGAAAGCUAGGGGAGCAAACGGG
rnacentral:rRNA from 1 species